CACUCUCACAUUUUUCUCUUGCCUGAUGCCCCGAUCUCCUUUAUUCUUUCCUUCUUCCAUCCGCUCACUCCAAAAUAGCUGCCACCGGAUGAGCCGUCCUAAUAGCUCCUCCUCAGCUGCAGGCAUCCCCGCAGCUCAACUCGUUGUUGCGGCCACAACCCACAGGGGUGUCUGUCUACGGCGGCUUGUCUCCUGGGCCGGUAAACAGCGACAGAUGUGUAGCAGGGUCCGAGGAGCAUCUGCGUAAGGGUCCGAGGAGCAUCUGCGUAAGGGAGCAGUGCCGUUUCCCUCGGUGUCCGUGCAGGUGAUGUGGGCGUGGAUCUCGCCUCCUGCAGCCAGCAUGGAUCCAGCUUGAGUAUGAGGAUGCUGGCGAUGUUGUCUUCCCCAAGCGCGCGAGCCAUCCGCAUCGUCGUUGUUCCCACUCGAGGCAGCCCAACACAUCAUCACCAUCCUCCACAGCAGCCGAUAAAAAUCUAGAGGUGUCAACAGAGGAUAUUGGGGCGCUUGCAACUAUUGGAGGAAGAUGAUGUCCAAGCGUCGAUUGCUGGAGGAAGACGAUGUUGAAGGUGGGUUCUGAUGGGCAGCACGUGCUAAACCUGAUUUGAUGCUAGCUUGCACGGUUGGUUUUCUCGCCCUGGCACCAUUGCUAAGCUAAUUACCAAAGCUCAUAAAACACAACCUUGCCUUCUCGCUUUCUCACAUUUCCGCAAUUGCUCAAGAUAGCAACCACCGUUGGUAGUCGUUCUGCUGAUUUUGUAUGUACUGCUAUGAAAGAUGCAAGAUCAGUUACUUAAUAGUUACCUUUUUGGAUUGCAUAUUUGAUCCACCUUGUGAGUUAGCAUGUCAAAACUCUUUAGAUGAGCACUGCCUUGAGUAUCGAAGUACUAUUGAUCCAUUGUUCAAUGAUAUAUAACAAAUUCAUCAAUGCCAUAUGA